rnacentral:rRNA from 1 species
UACGGAGGAUCCGAGCGUUAUCCGGAUUUAUUGGGUUUAAAGGGUGCGUAGGCGGUUCAAUAAGUCAGUGGUGAAAGUUUUCGGCUUAACCGGAAAAUUGCCGUUGAUACUGUUGGGCUUGAAUUUGGUUGCUGUGAGUGGAAUGUGUGGUGUAGCGGUGAAAUGCUUAGAUAUCACACAGAAUAUCGAUUGCGAAGGCAUCUCACAAAGCCAAUAUUGACGCUGAUGCACGAAAGUGUGGGGAUCAAACAGGAUUAGAUACCCUGGUAGUCCACACUGUAAACGAUGAUAACUCGCUGUCGGCGAUAGAUAGUCGGUGGCCAAGCGAAAGCGAUAAGUUAUCCACCUGGGGAGUACGACCGCAAGGUUGAAACUCAAAGGAAUUGACGGGGGCCCGCACAAGCGGAGGAACAUGUGGUUUAAUUCGAUGAUACGCGAGGAACCUUACCCGGGCUCGAACGGCUCUAGAAUAUAUCAGAGAUGAUAUAGCCAGCAAUGGCUGGAGUCGAGGUGCUGCAUGGUU